AUGAUGCAAGGCAAUGAAAUCGCCCCUUGUGUGAAAUAGCUCCGUGAACACUCUCCUGAAGAGCGCCAUUUCAUGUAUUUCAUUCCUCCUGUCCAGCAGUAAACAAUGCAGUUAUCCCAUUCGAGUUGGACGAUACUUCUUUUCUCCAUUUUGAUUACAACAUCUAUAGGAGCUCCUCUACGAGAUAGAAUAUGGAGGGGUAAACGAGAAAAAGACAACUUUGUUCAGUUGGAGUUACUGUAUGACCCUGAGCCAGUCAAGAAACAUCUCACCUUGGUGGAUGAUUAUGGAGUGAAACCUGCACCCCCUAACAUGCCAUUCUGGAUGCGAUCUAAGAAGGAAGGAGUCUAUCGGCCCGAUCUGGAGGAGUUCUGGUAGCCUUCAGCGACAUGGCCUCUUCAGUUACAGUCAAUGAAGAAUAAACUAAUCAGUUCAUUCAUUUAACUGUGC
ensembl:lncRNA